GGUGAUACCAUCAGUAGUUUCUACUUGUUUAUUAUGAUGAUCUUUUUUCUCACAUGAAACAUAACAAGGUUACCAACUCCAAACUCACCCAAUGAAAUAGGAAAAAAAUAAAAUUCCCACUUAGAGGGAGAUGUCUACUUAUAUAUACCAUGUAUGCAUAUUACAUAUAUUUAUGUAUGUUAAGAGAGAAAUGGACCUACAUUCGUACGAGGGAAAUCUACUCAUAUUAACUAUUGGAAGGUCAACUAUGAAGUUAGAUGGUACAAACAUAGAAAUCUUGGCUACAUUAGAGAGGAGAGAAAAAGGCAAAGCCUUUGGUUGUGCACUUCUCAUUCUCCCAGUCUCUUCCUCUUUUGAUCUUGCUACUCUUGAUCCCACUCUCUAUGCUUGCAUUUUCAUCCUCCAUGCAUUCCAUCCUCCCAUCUUUGCUAUCCCAUCCAAAAUUAGCAUUGUUGUGACUUAGCUGCCAAGGCCUUCUCUUCCUAGUAUUUGCCUUCCCUCCCUCACAUGAUCUCUCCACUUGCGUAGGCCUAGGGCUCUCUCAAUGUGGUUGUUGCUUUAUUGCAUAGUGAUCCUUGAGAUUUGAGGUUGUUAAUGGCCAUGGUGAUGCUUGUGUUUAACACCAAGAUUACAAGAGAUUUUUGGUUUAGUGGGGGUGAUGGAGAAUAGAGGUACUGAAGGAGAUCGGGAAACUGGAGAAGAAAG
rnacentral:lncRNA from 1 species